rnacentral:rRNA from 1 species
CGUGCCGUGAGGUGUUGGGUUAAGGCCCGCAGCGAGCGCAACCCCUGUCUUCAGUUACCAACGGGAUCAUGCCGGGAACUCUGGAGAGACUGCCCACGAGAACGGGGAGGAAGGUGGGGAUGACGUCUAGUCAGCAUGGCCUUUAUGUGCUGGGGCUACACACGUGCUACAAUGGCCGGUACAAAGCGCUGCUGACCCGUACGGGGGAGCCAAUCACAAAAAACCGCGCCUCGGUUCACAUUGAGGUCUGCUACUCGACCUCAUGAAUGCGGAAUCGCUAGUGAUCCCGGAUCAGCACGCCGGGGUGAAUACGUUCCCGGGUCUU